CCGAUCGACAACGACGAGCUGGUCAGCAACAUCCUCACUGGCCUCAACUACGACUACAACUCUGUGGUCUCAGCUGUCCUUGCACGAGCUGAGCCCAUUACGGUGAGCGAGCUGUAUACACAGCUUCUUUCUUUUGAUC